rnacentral:sRNA from 1 species
CCCCUCUGUGCAUCUGCAUGUCAAUCAAAGUCAAUAUAGACAUUCUUAUAUCAGGUGGGAAUUAGGCCUAUCUAGCAAUAUAGAUCCACACAAUUUCUGCAGUGUUCUCUCCCUGAAAGUUUUCCAACAUCACUUUUUGAUUGAGUGAUUGACAGCGACAUGGUGGCCACAUUUCCACAAGACAACUGAACUGAUCAUUUCUCUCUUUUCUGAGCAGUUUGGCAUUACUGGAUCCCUCUCAAUUAUCUCUGGAAAACAAUCAACUAAGCCCUUUGACCUGAGCAGCUUGACCUCAAAUGCAGUGAGUUCUGUUACUGCAGGGGCAGGCCUCUUCCUCCUUGCUGACAGCAUGGUAGCCCUGAGGACUGCCUCUCAACAUUGUGGCUCAGAAACGGAUUAUCUAUCCUCAUUGCCUUAUUCAGAGUACUAUUAUCCAAUAUAUGAAAUCAAAGAUUGUCUCCUGACCAGCGUCAGUUUAACAGGUGUCCUAGUGGUGAUGCUCAUCUUCACUGUGCUGGAGCUCUUAUUAGCUGCAUACAGUUCUGUCUUUUGGUGGAAACAGCUCUACUCCAACAACCCUGGG